ACGCAUUCUUCGCGAAUGUGGGAAGAGUGGCGAACGGGUAGAGGACACACAGUAAUGAAUCUGGCCCCUCGGCUCGGGGACAACUCUUGUGAUAAGCGAUGAUGCUACAUACCCGAUACGCUAGUGGAUGUGAAAGAAGUUUCGCCGAAGGGAUGAUCUUGCGUCUGAUUGAUGCUACGUUGGUACGGUAAUUGGCGGUACCAAGGCGACGAUCAGUAGCUGGUCUGAUGAGGAUGAACCAGCCACAGUUGGAACUGAGACACUGGUCCAAACUCCAUACGGGAGGCAGCAGUGGGGAAUUUUCCGCAAUGGACGAAAGUCUGACGGAGCGACGCUGCGUGAAGGAUGACGGCCCGCGGGUUGUAAACUUCUUUUCUCGAAGAAGAAGCUCUGACGGUAUUCGAGGAAUAAGCAUCGGCUAACUCCGUGCCAGCAGCCGCGGUAAGACGGAGGAUGCAAGUGUUAUUCGGAAUGAUUUGGGCGUAAAGAGUCUGUAGGCCGUAUAGAAAGUCUUUUGUUAAAUGCCUCGGGCUCAACCGAGAUCCAGCAAAGGAAA
rnacentral:rRNA from 1 species